CCGAUAUCUGUGCACAUUUCAAGGCAUUGUUUGCUAGGAAUCAAGGCAGUUCAUGUUAAUUCAACAGAAGAAAGAAAUUAUGUUCUGACAAGGUUUGAUGAAACAGGUGAAAAAGUAUACUAUACCAGUUUCAGCCCAAUGCUCACUGCACAGUCAGCUAUCACAACAUAGAGUUAAG